GCGUUAGAUGAAGGCGGAAGUCGACGUGAAAUACUACUAAUGUUGAACGAGGUGUUUCGCCAGUUUAUUUUUCCCAACUUCCUAUUCAACAGUUAAAGUUCCUAUGAUGUCGGAACAAUUAAGGAAUGACAUCAGGGAAAGGAAACUGAGAGUAACACUUUUGAGUGCUGAAUGGAAAGCAUCAAGUGAUGGAGACUUAACAACCAUCAACAGAGAGCUAGCAAUACAGAUGGCUAAACAUCC